GAAAUGCGAUAAGUAAUGUGAAUUGCAGAAUUCAGUGAAUCAUCGAAUCUUUGAACGCACCUUGCACCCUUUGGUAUUCCGAAGGGUACGCCCGUUUGAGCGUCAUUGUAAUCUCACUUCUACCGCUUUGUUGUAGUAGAAUGUGGACUUGGACGUCUGCCGUGUCACAGCGGCUCGUCUUAAAUGCCUGAGUGUACCCUACUUUGCGGUGUAUUCGGUGUGAUAAACAUUUCACCGGAGUUUUGGUCUCUGACCGCACUUAGCAAUUGGUGGGCUCUAUGCUUUCCAACCGUCUUUACAGACAAUCUUUGACAAUUUGACCUCAAAUCGGGCGGGACUACCCGCUGAACUUAAGCAUAUCAAUAAGCGGAGGAAAAGAAACU
rnacentral:rRNA from 1 species